rnacentral:rRNA from 1 species
CACGUAGGGACCGAGCGUUGUCCGGAUUUAUUGGGCGUAAAGAGCGCGUAGGCGGCCGAGUAAGUCCGACGUGAAAUCUGGAGGCUCAACCUCCAGCGGUCGUUGGAAACUACUCGGCUAGAGUCCGGAAGAGGAGAGUGGAAUUCCUGGUGUAGCGGUGAAAUGCGCAGAUAUCAGGAAGAACACCGAUGGCGAAAGCAGCUCUCUGGGACGGUACUGACGCUGAGGCGCGAAAGCGUGGGGAGCGAACAGG